ACGGGGCUAAACCAUGCACCGAAGCUGCGGCAGCGACACUGUGUGUUGUUGGGUAGGGGAGCGUUCUGUAAGCCUGUGAAGGUGUGUCGUGAGGCAUGCUGGAGGUAUCAGAAGUGCGAAUGCUGACAUAAGUAACGAUAAAGCGGGUGAAAAGCCCGCUCGCCGGAAGACCAAGGGUUCCUGUCCAACGUUAAUCGGGGCAGGGUGAGUCGACCCCUAAGGCGAGGCCGAAAGGCGUAGUCGAUGGGAAACGGGUUAAUAUUCCCGUACUUGGUGUUACUGCGAAGGGGGGACGGAGAAGGCUAUGUUGGCCGGGCGACGGUUGUCCCGGUUUAAGCGUGUAGGUGUGUGUUCCAGGUAAAUCCGGUUCACUUUAACACUGAGGCGUGACGACGAGGCACUACGGUGCUGAAGCAACAAAUGCCCUGCUUCCAGGAAAAGCCUCUAAGCAUCAGGUAACAUCAAAUCGUACCCCAAACCGACACAGGUGGUCAGGUAGAGAAUACCAAGGCGCUUGAGAGAACUCGGGUGAAGGAACUAGGCAAAAUGGUGCCGUAACUUCGGGAGAAGGCACGCUGACACGUAGGUGAAGUGAUUUACUCAUGGAGCUGAAGUCAGUCGAAGAUACCAGCUGGCUGCAACUGUUUAUUAAAAACACAGCACUGUGCAAACACGAAAGUGGACGUAUACGGUGUGACGCCUGCCCGGUGCCGGAAGGUUAAUUGAUGGGGUCAGCGCAAGCGAAGCUCCUGAUCGAAGCCCCGGUAAACGGCGGCCGUAACUAUAACGGUCCUAAGGUAGCGAAAUUCCUUGUCGGGUAAGUUCCGACCUGCACGAAUGGCGUAAUGAUGGCCAGGCUGUCUCCACCCGAGACUCAGUGAAAUUGAACUCGCUGUGAAGAUGCAGUGUACCCGCGGCAAGACGGAAAGACCCCGUGAACCUUUACUAUAGCUUGACACUGAACAUUGAGCCUUGAUGUGUAG
rnacentral:rRNA from 1 species